rnacentral:lncRNA from 1 species
UGGAUCUCUUGCAAACGACAUCUGACUUUGGUGAAGGUUCACAAGAGUAAAUCCAUCCUCAACUUUAACACCAUUACCUUCAAUUGCCCAGUCACAUCUAAAUAUCGGAACAUAAAAUACGUGAUAAUCCAAUAAUAUUAUAUCUGUCAAUAUUCCAUAGUACGUAACCAAAUCAGUGACUUGUGAUGUAUCCUUUGCACUGGCUCUACACAAGCUAGUUGCCUCGUAAACCACCCCACUAUUUUGGGUUUCUUUAUGGACAUCUUUUGUGUGAAAUCGUUG